GGCGCGAUGGCAGAGUGGUUAUGCAGCGGCCUGCAAAGCCGUGUACAUCGGUUCGAUUCCGGUUCGCGCCUCCA
rnacentral:tRNA from 12 species